rnacentral:rRNA from 1 species
CCUACGGGUGACAGCAGUGGGGAAUAUUGGGCAAUGGGCGCAAGCCUGACCCAGCAACGCCGCGUGAAGGAUGAAGGUUUUCGGAUUGUAAACUUCUGUCGCGAGGGACGAAGAAUGACGGUACCUCGUAAGAAAGCCCCGGCUAACUACGUGCCAGCAGCCGCGGUAAUACGUAGGGGGCAAGCGUUGUCCGGAAUGACUGGGCGUAAAGGGAGUGUAGGCGGCUUAUCAAGUUAGAUGUGAAAUCCCGCGGCUUAACCGCGGAACUGCAUCUAAAACUGGUGAGCUGGAGUGCAGGAGAGGUGAGUGGAAUUCCUAGUGUAGCGGUGGAAUGCGUAGAUAUCAGGAGGAAUACCGUUAGCGAAGGCGGCAAUCUGGCUGGAAACUGACGCUGAGGUGCGAAAGCGUGGGUAGCAAACAGGAUUAGAUACCCGAGUAGUC